UACGAAGGGGGCUAGCGUUGCUCGGAAUCACUGGGCGUAAAGCGCACGUAGGCGGAUCUUUAAGUCAGGGGUGAAAUCCCGAGGCUCAACCUCGGAACUGCCCUUGAUACUGGGGAUCUCGAGUCCGGAAGAGGUUGGUGGAACUCCGAGUGUAGAGGUGAAAUUCGUAGAUAUUCGGAAGAACACCGGCGGCGAAGGCGGCCCUCUGGAUCGUUGCUGACGCUGAGACGCGAAAGCGUGGGGAGCAAACAGG
rnacentral:rRNA from 1 species